AUGAACGCUAGCGGAACGCCUAACACAUGCAAGUCGAACGGGACUUUAUUUGUAGCAAUACAGAUAAAGCCUAGUGGCAGACGAGCGAGUAACGCGUACUUAACUUGCCCUUAAGUUGGGAACAACUAUAGAGAUGUAGCUAAUUCCCAAUAUGCUCACGACGGUGAAAUUCCGAUGUGAGGAAAGAUUUAUCGCUUAAGGAGAGGGGUGCGUCCUAUCAUGGUAGUUGGUAAGGUAAUGGCUUACCAAGCCUUUGACGGGUAGCCGGUCUAAGAUGAUGUCCGGCCGCGAUGGAACUGAGAUACGGUCCAUACUCCUACGGGAGGCAGCAGUGGGGAAUCUUGCACAAUGGGCGAAAGCCUGAUGCAGCGAUUCCGCGUGGAGGAUGAAGCAUUACGGUGUGUAAACUCCUUUUCUGGUGGAAGACGAAUGACGGUACACCAGGAAUAAGGGACGGCUAACUACGU
rnacentral:rRNA from 1 species